rnacentral:misc_RNA from 1 species
GGAACCGAACUCACACACCACACACAGAGGAAGACGAAGAAGGGGAGAGCGAGAAUCUUGAAGAGCCAGUAAUCUUAAUCCUUUUACCAUGGCGAUAGCUUCCUCUUCUCUUCAACCACUUCACCAAGUUCUAUGCCUCAAAUACACUUGCCUUUCUCCCAAUUCCCGAAAUUUCCAGCCUCGUCUCGGGUUUUCCUCUCUCAGGUUUCCCUCCACGAUUCGCGCUAGUUCAGCAGUUGCUCUUGAACCAGAUUUAGGCACAGAGAAGCGUCAAACUUUGGAGGAUGACCCAUUUGCAUGCCCAAUAUGUUAUGAGCCUCUGAUAAGAAAAGGCCCUCCAGGUUUUAAUUUAUCAGCAAUCUACCGGUCUGGUUUCAAGUGCAAGAAAUGCAACAAAACAUAUUCCAGCAAAGACAACUAUCUGGAUCUUACAAUUACAGCUGCAAUGAAGGAAUAUAAUGAAGUCAAACCUGCUAGGACAGAGCUAUUCCGGUAUACGUGGAUUGAUGUACAUAGCAUAAUGAUGAAUUAGAAGUUCUCACAUGCCCCUACAUAUUCAUAAAACUUCACAUGCUGUAACUCUUGGAUAAACUCUUGUUUCAUGUCUCCAGAAAUAUUUUUCAAACCUUAGUUUCUGUUAGUUAGAGGAACAGCUGCAUAUUUUUCUCACCCAAUCUUUGUUCUAAGCAAUGAUUAACAGACGUGCCUUUUGUAUAAGGCACAUCAUAAUUUAGUUAUAUUGUUUGAGGAAAUAUUGUCUUACCUCAAUUGUUGACCUGACCUUGUUAGGAGUCCACUUGUUUCAUUCUUGUAUGAACGAGGGUGGCGUCAAAAUUUUAAUCAAAGUGGCUUCCCUGGUCCUGAUGAAGAGUUCAAAAUGGCUCAGGAGUACUUCAAACCAGCAGAAGGUGGUCUCCUAGUUGAUGUUAGCUGUGGCAGCGGAUUGUUUUCCAGAAAAUUUGCCAAAUCUGGGACUUAUUCUAAAGUUGUUGCGCUUGAUUUUUCUGAAAACAUGCUUCGCCAAUGUUAUGAUUUCAUUAAGCAAGACAUCACUAUCUUAAAUACGAAUCUUGCCCUUGUUCGAGCAGAUGUUUCUAGACUUCCUUUCUCAUCAGGUUCAGUUGAUGCUGUUCAUGCUGGUGCAGCCUUACAUUGCUGGCCAUCUCCUUCAAAUGCUAUUGCUGAAAUCUGUCGUAUAUUGCGGAGUGGUGGAGUCUUUGUUGGAACCACUUUUCUAAGAUACAGUGCAGUCACUUCCUGGAUUGAACGGCCACUCCGUGAGAGGAUUCUGCAGAAUUAUAACUAUUUCACAGAGGAGGAGAUUGAGGACUUGUGCACAUCAUGUGGUCUUACCAACUACAAAAGCAAAGUUCAGCAAUCCUUCAUCAUGUUCUCUGCUGAGAAGCCCUCAGAUGUUUAGGUCAUUUAAACAAUUUUCUGGCCUUAACAUAUAUAUAUAUACACAUAUAUAAAUUGUAUAGAAUCUUAAAAUAAGCAAAAACCUGAAAAGGUGAUAACCUGAGGCAGAUGUAAAGUUAGUAAAAAAAGUUUAUCAUAUUUAUUGCAUGAUUAGCCAAAGACUUAUUUGUUUGAACACUAUUAAGAACAUCAAUGCUCAUUGGUCGCUAAAGAAACAAAGCCAGGCUUUCUAAUUUAAGAUUAAUUUGAGAAUGAUCUGAGAGCAAUAGCUUUCUGAGGUAGUCAUAGGCAACAAUCAUUGUAAUGAUUUCAACAAACCUAUACUAACCCAGCAGGCGGUUCGGCAAGUCGGACCAAUCAUAAUCGUAAAAUGCAGAUCAUCAAACCUAUCACAUUACCAAAAUGAGGCUUGCAAAGAUUAGGAGCAUGAAUUCAAAACUUGAGAAUUGUCUGACAACAGCAAGAGUACUGCAAAUGGUAUUUGUGGUCAUAUCCAAUGUACACUUUCAAGAAUGAGGUCACAUGAUGAGAGGUAUAUUAGGUGAUAUUUUAGUGGCAGGUGAGAAGGGUAUGCACAUGAGCUAUUCAAGAAAAGAAAGAGCAGCAGUAGUCCAUGAGGGGAAGGUGCGUGAACCCUAUUAAAGAAAAGUAUAAAAGCCUUUAAUGGCAGGGAAGAGAAGAGAAGAGAUCCCCUCGUGCGGCUCACACCCAAGCUAUGUUCACUUCUGGAUAUUUGACCGUUGACCAACCAACAAAAUGCACAGCUUAGAAAAAGAGGAAUAUUUGGUUCGGUGAAUCCAAUGCAGUAGCAGUAGCAGCAGCUGUCUGCAGCACCACCGCCCUCUCUUUUUUCGCUGUGUGAGGCCAUUGGAUCCCUUGCACGUGAGCUUCAAUCUUGGUGAUACUUUUAUUACAUUACAUGGCACGUGGGGGUCGGCAAAUCCUUUUUGUUAGAUUAAUUUUUUUUUAUUAAUUAAAUUUAGAAUUGUGGAGAUGUUAAGGUGUUUAAGCUGAUUUGAUUAUGGAGAUUCACGUGAUUACUUUAUAUUAGUGGGUUUAAUUUUG